GUAAUAAAAUCAAUGUUUAAAAAAUAGUCAAUGAUAAUACCAACACCAACGCUAUGAAUGAGGAAAUUGUAAUGUUUUUGAAGAAAAUCGGUGUUCAUGAUCACGAAGCUGAAUUUAACAAGGAACAUCGAUGCAGAGAACAACCUUAAAUUCUUCCAAAAUGAGCUUUUCUGAAGAUGGAACCCGCGAUUUUGAUCAUAUCAUAAUCAUGACAUCAUGGAAAUUAUUAAUUCGGAAAUACCCUCUCAGCUGCUUCAAUAAACACUUAUUACAUCCUUAGAAUUAAGGAAUGUCCGUCACCUCAUCCUCCAAAGAGCAAUUUGUGACAUAGAUCCUAACUCAUAUUCGAUAUUCCUCUCAACAAUAAUACAUCAAUAUUCGUCAAAGGCUAGAACAGAAGUUGAAGUAAAGGGAUUCAGGCAUUGUGAAAAGAAGGACACAAAUAGUUUAUACAUCCAUAUUAUUAUUUGUAUUUCAAAGUUGAAUCUUUUUGAAGCCCAUAUGUAACGUAUACGGACUUCUCAACAAAACAACCAUGGCGGGAACCUACAGAGC
rnacentral:lncRNA from 1 species